CCUCCUUAAAGAUAAAUAAUAAGCUUUGCUUGUCUUUUAAACAGGUGUCUACACUUUAUUGCUUUAACAUGUUCUUUAACAAAAAGGGAAGAAGUAAACAAACGAGUAAAGAAGAAAGACGCGAGAGGACUUGUUGGAACUGUGUGUUAGCUGUAAUUUAGUUAAUCGUCAGUUUAGAUGAGUUCGCUAAGGUAAGAAAGAAGUCAGCGAAAGGUCAUAUAAGGUUAUAUGAUCAAGAGAAUAAGUGCAUAUGGCGGAUGCCUUGGCAGUAGGAGGCGAUGAAGGACGUAGUAGCGUGCGAAAAGCUUCGGGGAGCUAGCAAACGAGCAUUGAUCCGGAGAUUUCCGA
rnacentral:misc_RNA from 1 species